GGCGGGGCCAAGAUGGCCGACUAGAAGCAGCAGUAAUUGUAGGCUGCCAUUGAAAAGAACCAAAACAGAGUGUGAAUCCUGCACCGGCAACUGAAGUAUCCGCGUUCUGUCACCAGGACUGACUAGGCGGCUAGUGUGACCCAAGGAGAAGAAGGAAGAGCAGUGUGGUGCGGCAGCCCACCUGAGAACCACAUGGGCAGGGGAGCCCCUAUCCCCCAGCCAAGGGAGUCGGUGGAGUCAGAGACUCUCGGGUGCAGCUG
rnacentral:lncRNA from 1 species